GAACCAGACCUAGCCCCACAACUCACCCCAACUCAACUAUAUAAAAAUUUUAAAUAAAACAUUCAUAAGACAAAGUAUAUGAGAUAGAAAUAUCAUUCAGGGAGCUAUAGACUAAGUACCGUAAGGGAAAGAUGAAAGACACCUCACAGUACUAAACAGCAGAGAUAACCCCUCCUACCUUUUGCAUAAUGAGCUAACAAGAAACAGUUGACAAAGUGAACUGAAGCCAACACCCCCGAAACCAGACGAGCUACUUAUGAACAAUUAUCAGAAUGCACUCGUCUAUGUAGCAAAAUAGUGAGACGAUUCCUAAGUAGAGGUGAAAAGCCAAUCGAGCCUGGAGAUAGCUGGUUGUCCAAAAAAAGAAUCUAAGUUCAACCUAAAGUCCUGCCCCCAAAAAUUAUAAUUAUCAUGCAAACUUUAGAGUUAGUCAAUAGGGGUACAGCCCUAUUGAACAAGGAUACAACCCCUCAAGGAGAAUAAGAACAUCAGAACCCCAUAGUUGGCCUAAGAGCAGCCAUCAAUUAAGAAAGCGUUAAAGCUCAACUUUAAAUACCAAAUUAAUUCCUAAAAUUAAAUCAACUUCCCUUACAACAUAUUGGACUACUCUAUUCCCUUAUAGAAGAAAUAAUGUUAGUAUUAGUAACAAGAAACAAUUCUCCGCGCACAAGCUUAUAUCAGAACGGAUGCCCACUGAUAAUUAACGACAAAAUACCAAAACCCAUACAUAAAUACCCUAUUAUCUCCAUCGUUAAUCCGACACAGGUGUGCGACCCGGAAAGAUUAUCAGAAGUAGAAGGAACUCGGCAAACACGAACCCCGCCUGUUUACCAAAAACAUCACCUCUAGCAUUAUCAGUAUUAGAGGCACUGCCUGCCCAGUGACACCAGUUAAACGGCCGCGGUACUCUGACCGUGCAAAGGUAGCAUAAUCAUUUGUUCCUUAAUUAGGGACUUGUAUGAAUGGCUAGACGAGGGUUCAACUGUCUCCUACCUCUAAUCAGUGAAAUUGACCUCCCCGUGAAGAGGCGGGGAUGAUAAUAUAAGACGAGAAGACCCUAUGGAGCUUAAGUUUACUUUCCUAAUAGCCACUUAUUAAUUCCAACAGGUACACACUAUAGCUUACUAGGGAAAUAACUUCGGUUGGGGUGACCUCGGAGCACAAAACAACCUCCGAAUGAUAUACACCAUGAUUAACCAAUCUAAGUCAAGAUCUAAUUGACCCAAUUUAUUGAUCAAUGGAACAAGUUACCCUAGGGAUAACAGCGCAAUCCUAUUUUAGAGUCCAUAUCGACAAUAGGGUUUACGACCUCGAUGUUGGAUCAGGACAUCCCAAUGGUGCAGAAGCUAUUAAAGGUUCGUUUGUUCAACGAUUAAAGUCCUACGUGAUCUGAGUUCAGACCGGAGCAAUCCAGGUCGGUUUCUAUCUAUAUAAAAUUUCUCCCAGUACGAAAGGAUAAGAGAAAUGAGGCCAACCCUAAAAGAGCGCCUUAGCACCCAAUAAAUGAAUUAAUCUAAAUUUAGAAACUCAACCAAUAACAGCCCUAGAAAAGGGCAU
rnacentral:rRNA from 1 species